rnacentral:rRNA from 1 species
UACCGGUUAGUGGUUAUACCGGAGCAAGCCCGUAGGACGACAUCUAGGCAAAUCCGGAUGUCAUACGUCUGAGAGGUGACGCAUAGCCGAUUGAGGCGAAUUCAGUGAUCCUAUGCUGCCAAGAAAAGCCUCUAGUGAGUUCACACACGGCCCGUACCCCAAACCAACACAGGUGGUCAGGUAGAGAAUACUAAGGCGUACGAGAUAACUAUGGUUAAGGAACUCGGCAAAAUACCCCCGUAACUUCGGGAGAAGGGGGACCUCGCUUGGUGACCGGACUUGCUCCGUGAGCUGAACGAGGUCGCAGAGACCAGUGAGAAGCGACUGUUUACUAAAAACACAGGUCCGUGCGAAGUCGCAAGACGAUGUAUACGGACUGACGCCUGCCCGGUGCUGGAAGGUUAAGAGGACCCGUUAACCCUUGGGUGAAGCGGAGAAUUUAAGCCCCAGUAAACGGCGGUGGUAACUAUAACCAUCCUAAGGUAGCGAAAUUCCUUGUCGGGUAAGUUCCGACCUGCACGAAUGGCGUAACGACUUCUCAACUGUCUCAACCAUAGACUCGGCGAAAUUGCACUACGAGUAAAGAUGCUCGUUACGCGCGGCAGGACGAAAAGACCCCGGGACCUUCACUAUAGCUUGGUAUUGGCGUUUGGUUCGGUUUGUGUAGGAUAGGUGGGAGACUGUGAAGCAGGCACGCCAGUGUUUGUGGAGUCAUCGUUGAAAUACCACUCUGAUCGUAUUGAACCUCUAACCUCGGACCGUAUAUCCGGUCCAGGGACAGUGCCUGGUGGGUAGUUUAACUGGGGCGGUUGCCUCCCAAAAUGUAACGGAGGCGCCCAAAGGUUCCCUCAACCUGGACGGCAAUCAGGUGUUGAGUGCAAGUGCACAAGGGAGCUUGACUGCGAGACCUACAAGUCAAGCAGGGACGAAAGUCGGGACUAGUGAUCCGGCACCUCUGAGUGGAAGGGGUGUCGCUCAACGGAUAAAAGGUACCCCGGGGAUAACAGGCUGAUCUUCCCCAAGAGUCCAUAUCGACGGGAUGGUUUGGCACCUCGAUGUCGGCUCGUCGCAUCCUGGGGCUGGAGCAGGUCCCAAGGGUUGGGCUGUUCGCCCAUUAAAGCGGCACGCGAGCUGGGUUUAGAACGUCGUGAGACAGUUCGGUCUCUAUCCGCCGCGCGCGUCAGAAACUUGAGGAAACCUGUCCCUAGUACGAGAGGACCGGGACGGACGAACCUCUGGUGUACCAGUUGUUCCACCAGGAGCACGGCUGGAUAGCUACGUUCGGACAGGAUAACCGCUGAAAGCAUCUAAGCGGGAAACCUAUUCCAAGACCAGGUUUCUCACCCUUUUAGAGGGAUAAGGUCACCCACAGACUAUGGGUUCAAUAGGCCAGACCUGCAAGCGUAGUAAUACGUUCAGGGAACUGGCACUAAUCGACCGAAAACUUACUAAU